rnacentral:rRNA from 2 species
UACGUAGGGUGCAAGCGUUGUCCGGAAUUAUUGGGCGUAAAGAGCUCGUAGGCGGUUUGUUGCGUCGGCUGUGAAAACCUGAGGCUCAACCUCAGGCCUGCAGUCGAUACGAGCAGACUAGAGUGUUGCAGGGGAGACUGGAAUUCCUGGUGUAGCGGUGAAAUGCGCAGAUAUCAGGAGGAACACCGGUGGCGAAGGCGGGUCUCUGGGCAACAACUGACGCUGAGGAGCGAAAGCGUGGGGAGCGAACAGG